rnacentral:rRNA from 1 species
GCAGAGCAUCCUACGGGAGGCAGCAGUGGGGAAUAUUGCACAAUGGGCGCAAGCCUGAUGCAGCCAUGCCGCGUGUAUGAAGAAGGCCUUCGGGUUGUAAAGUACUUUCAGCAGUGAGGAAGGUGGGUAUGUUAAUAGCAUACUCAUUUGACGUUAGCUGCAGAAGAAGCACCGGCUAACUCCGUGCCAGCAGCCGCGGUAAUACGGAGGGUGCGAGCGUUAAUCGGAAUUACUGGGCGUAAAGCGCAUGCAGGUGGUUUGUUAAGUCAGAUGUGAAAGCCCGGGGCUCAACCUCGGAAUUGCAUUUGAAACUGGCAAACUAGAGUACUGUAGAGGGGGUAGAAUUUCAGGUGUAGCGGUGAAAUGCGUAGAGAUCUGAAGGAAUACCGGUGGCGAAGGCGGCCCCCUGGACAGAUACUGACACUCAGAUGCGAAAGCGUGGGGAGCAAACAGGAUUAGAUACCCUGAUAG